UUUUAUGAAGAGAUGGUAAAGUGAAGUUCAACAUUUGUGAGGAGGAAGAAGAGGAAGGAAUAGAGCAUGAGCUGGUUUGUCAGUUGGAGAAAUCGAGCAUUUCCAAAGCCAGGAGUAGGGCUGUGAAAGAAGAUCAUGUGCAGAGGGGUGAAAGCAUUCAACAUGAUGACAUCUGCACAACUGGAGCUCCAUAAACACUUAGGAGAAGAAAGUGUAUCAAAGCCAAGUAUUUGAAAUGAAACCUGGCUCUUUGAAAAUGAUUUUAUUGCUUGAAUUUAUACGUAAACCUUCAGACGUCAGAACACUUAUCCAGACUGCUGUGGUUUUGAAUGCAUCCUAUGAAAUUCAUAUGUUGGAAUAUUGAUCACCAAUGUGGAAAUGUUGAACGUAGAAUACUUAAGAGGAUUAUUCUUACAAAAUUAAGUUCAAGAGGAAAUGUACAAUAGAUGGAAACAAUGUGAAAAUUCAGAAAGAUGUGAAGACUCCUUCAGAACUUUUGGAAUGAAAUAAUCAAAUAAUAAAUUAACUAUGAGUA